rnacentral:rRNA from 1 species
UAUGUAUGUAGCCUCUCUUCGGAGCAUCGGUGACAGGUGGUGCAUGGUUGUCGUCAGCUCGUGUCGUGAGAUGUUGGGUUAAGUCCCGCAACGAGCGCAACCCUUAUCCUUAGUAGCCAGCGGAUAGAGCCGGGCACUCUAGGGAGACUGCCAGGGAUAACCUGGAGGAAGGCGGGGAUGACGUCAAAUCAUCAUGCCCCUUAUGACUUGGGCUACACACGUGCUACAAUGGCGUAAACAAAGGGAAGCGAACCUGUGAGGGAGAGCAAAUCUCAAAAAUAACGUCCCAGUUCGGAUUGCAGUCUGCAACUCGACUGCAUGAAGCUGGAAUCGCUAGUAAUCGCGAAUCAAAAUGUCGCGGUGAAUACGUUCCCGGGUCUUGUACACACC